rnacentral:rRNA from 1 species
AUUGAACGCUGGCGGCAUGCCUUACACAUGCAAGUCGAACGGCAGCACGGGAGCAAUCCUGGUGGCGAGUGGCGAACGGGUGAGUAAUAUAUCGGAACGUGCCCAGUGAUGGGGGAUAGCCCGGCGAAAGCCGGAUUAAUACCGCAUACGACCUACGGGGUGAAAGCGAGGGGAUCGCAAGACCUUGCGUCAUUGGAGCGGCCGAUAUCAGAUUAGCUGGUUGGUGGGGUAAAAGCCUACCAAGGCGACGAUCUGUAGCUGGUCUGAGAGGACGACCAGCCACACUGGGACUGAGACACGGCCCAGACUCCUACGGGAGGCAGCA